rnacentral:rRNA from 1 species
CAGUAGCCGCGGUAAUACGUAGGUGGCAAGCGUUGUCCGGAAUUAUUGGGCGUAUAGGGCUCGCAGGCGGUUUCUUAAGUCUGAUGUGAAAGCCCCCGGCUCAACCGGGGGGGGUCAUUGGAAACUGGGAAACUUGAGUGCAGAAGAGGAGAGUGGAAUUCCACGUGUAGCGGUGAAAUGCGUAGAGAUGUGGAGGAACACCAGUGGCGAAGGCGACUCUCUGGUCUGUAACUGACGCUGAGGAGCGAAAGCGUGGGGAGCGAACAGGAUUAGAUACCCCAGUAGUCCCUGUCUCUUAUAC